CGCAUACUGAGGCAUCCGGUGGCAAGGAGUGAGGGUCUCCCCUGUAGGAAGCGUACACAGAAGGACCUAACAUUUAUGGAGUGGUUGCAAGGUGGGUGUGUAGCCUGUGGGUUGGACCAAUGUGGUCAAGAAAGUCCUGCAAAUGGGCAGUGAGAGGCGAUGGUGCCUCAGGGCCUGUUGGCAGCACCAGAGGCCAAGCCUGUCAUCAGCUUUCCCCGGCUCAGAAAAUAAAGGCAAGUUCCUUGACAUGGCUGGUGAGGUCUUGCCUUGGUCUGGCCCCGCCUCCUUCUCCAGCCUCACUGCCCAGCUGGGCCCCCUCGCCCUGUCUUUCAGGCUCUCGUAUUUGCCAAGCUCUCGUCUGCCACAGGGACAUUGCACAUGCUAGGUUUCCUGCCUGGAAUGAUCUUCCUCUUUGUAUCUAGUUAAAUCUUACUCACCGCGACUCAAAGGUCACUUGCUCAAGGAAGCUUUUUCUGAUCGCUCUGACCCAUUUGAAUACCCCCAUUAUGGGCUAUCAGGGAACCACGAGAACUUGCAUUUAGAAACGAUUGCAAUUGUGUAUUUAUUUAUGUAUGUUUUUUAUUGGUGUUUGUCUCUCUUCCAAACUGUUAGCUCUGUAAGGGCGGAAGCAGUAUUGCUUUUGCCCAUCGUUGUAUCUCAGUGCCUGUUAUUCCCUCAACAAAUAUUUAUCGAGCACCUGCAAACGUGACAGAUGCUGCUCUGGUGCUCGAGAUGCUCGCAUGAACAAAAUGGAGGUCCCGCCCCCCAUGGAGGGUGCUUUUUAGCACAGAUUAGUCUACUAAUAUUAGCUUCAUAAAAUUCGUCAAUAGUUACCAUGUGCUAGGGCACUUGCUAAGUGCUUUUCAUGAAUUACCUCACUUAAUCCCCUCAAAAUCUGAUUUUUACCUUUUUUAAAUUCCUCUUCUUUCGGCUGUUAAAAAUGGAAACUUGAGUCUCUCAAGCCCCUCAUUUCACGGCAUAUUAUUGCUAGCGACCUGCUGGACUCUUCCUUGGUUCACGGAUUGAUUUUCCUUUAUCCCCUAUUUCUGC